GUGAUGGAGCGUAGUGUGAAUUCUGGCACUGCACCACCGGAGGCCACCUCCGAUUCGAGUUCUCCACAGCUCAAAAUCGCCGAUUUGCUAAUCCUUAUCCGUGGAAUCACCGCAGCCCGUCGUCCUCGCAUAGCAAUUCCGCUUUCGUUCUCCGUAUUGCAUGACCUGCUUUUGUUUACUUCUGGCGGAAUGGCCGUUUUGAUCGCAGUGGAUCAGGCAAGGAGGGGAAGCUUUGUAUGGGGGACUGGGAAGAAAAGGACUGGGCUCAUAGGAUCCAGUUCCUCUUCGGUGUCAAGAUAGUUCAGGACGCAAUUGGUGGUUGGCAUUGCUUGGCCGUGGACAACCAGGGCCGGGCUUAUGCUUGGGGCAUACGAAAAAUGGAAAAGCUUUUGCGUUAGAAAUUGUGUUCAGAAGCUUUAGCUAGUAUAAGGCGGAGUGUUAGACCAUUAACUGUGAUUUUCUGCUUCGAAAACUCAAUCACAGUUGCUACAAUUAGCGUCUUGCCUAUCAGUUAGUUGCUUUUCUCUUUCUAGAUCAUCAUUGCUGGUGGUGGUCGGCAUUCAGCUGCACCAACAGAUGAUGGAGAGGUAAAUAGUUAUGUUUUUCAUGUAGUCCAGUCAUGCAUGAUUUUACCCAAAACAAAGUAUGUUUGCAUUUCCUUAAUCCAAUCAUCCGAUUUACAUGGGAUAUUUCCUGUAGCACGGAAAUCAAAUUUUAUGAUCAUACCUUGAGCUCAAAUUUAAAAUAAUUUGUUCUAUACUGUAGCAUUGGAGGAUAUUAACUUUUGUCAUUCAAGUUUCUUUGUGUGGAAGUGACAACUAAACAUUUGAGACUGGAUAUCAGUGACCAAACAUUCCUCAGUCAUUGAAAUGGGGAUGUUAGUUUUUUACAAAUCAUCCAAAUUAUUCAACUUUCUGAAUUUAAGCAGUUUGAUCAAGGAUAUGAUCAUAGGCAUUUAAGAUCUGAUUAAAUGUUUGCAAAACAUUCAUGGUCUAUCAGCAGUAUAUUCCUUCAACUAUUAUAUACCUCAGGAUGUUCUUGUGUGUUACUAUAUUCAUACUACCGCCGGUUAAUGUUUUUCUUUAGAAACUUGGGGUCAUGCCAUUCUGGAACUUCCAGUGAUUCAGUUGUUUUCUUCCAUUGAAUUGUCAUCAAAGAAGCACAAGAAAACUUUAUUCUUCUAUUUCACUAGAUUUUAAAUUUCGCCUUAUUUGAAGCCUGUGAAUCUGUUUUUCUAGGGAAGGAAGCAAUUCACUUCUCUAGGAGGACUUUGUAAAUGAUUUAACUGUAAGAGGAAUGAGUUUUCAUGACAGUCAUUUGCAUUUGAUUUGCACAUUCAAGUGCACCUAGAAUAAAAACAGCAAUACGAGUUUGUAUUCGGUCUUGCUUAUGUUGACACUCAGAUUAGUAUCGUCGAAUUGGCAAGUUGUAUGAAUGGCGAAGAGGAAAGCAUGGAAGGCUCGGGCUUGGGGAUGAUAAGAGCAGCAAAAUGGUUUCUCAGAAAGUCCCAACUCCUGGUGGGAACAAACAUUGUCCAGGUAUCUUGUUGAGGCACUCAUUCAGUGGCAUUGACUAUCGAUGGACGAAUUUUCUCGGUACAUGUAAGAUUUAGAAUUGUGGGGUGCAUUUGGUGAACAAGGUCAAUCGCAUGGGUUGAGUUUUGAGUUUAAUUCAAAUUAUUUCAUUGCUCUUUGUAAUGAAUAGAUGUAUGCAUUUAUUCUCACAUUGCUAAACAAGGAAAGGUUGGAAGGCCUUAUAUAUGGAGCCCUUCCAUCUUUGCUUAGCAAAGUUAAGAGGACCUACACGCAUGCGCGGGCUGAGCUCAAAUCAGGUGGUUUCGGGGGGUUCGAGCCGGAAAUCUAUAA